rnacentral:rRNA from 1 species
UACGUAGGGUGCAAGCGUUAAUCGGAAUUACUGGGCGUAAAGCGUGCGCAGGCGGUUAUGCAAGACAGAGGUGAAAAUCCCCCGGGCUCAACCUGGGAACUGCAUUUGUGACUGUAGAGCUGGAGUGCGGCAGAGGGGGGAUGGAAUUCCGCGUGUAGCAGUGAAAAUGCGUAGAUAUCAGGAGGAACACCCAUGGCGAAGGCAGCAAAACUGGGCCACAUCUGACGCUGGAGGCGCGAAAGCGUGGGUAGCAAACAGGA